UUUAUGGCCUGGGGUGUUAAAACUAUUACAAUGUUGUUUAGACUUUAAUUGACUAUUAUUAUGUAUUAUAUGUUGAUUGAUAAUGUAUUAUUACUUGAACUUAAUGUAGAAUUAUGUUAUAUUUUAUAUUUUAUUUUAGAA